rnacentral:rRNA from 1 species
UACGGAGGGUGCAAGCGUUAAUCGGAAUUAUUGGGCGUAAAGAGCUCGUAGGCGGUCUGUCGCGUCGGCUGUGAAAACCCGGGGCUCAACCCCGGGCCUGCAGUCGAUACGGGCAGACUAGAGUGCGGUAGGGGAGACUGGAAUUCCUGGUGUAGCGGUGAAAUGCGCAGAUAUCAGGAGGAACACCGGUGGCGAAGGCGGGUCUCUGGGCCGUAACUGACGCUGAGGAGCGAAAGCGUGGGGAGCGAACAGG